UGAUUUUCUUUUUGUAGAUGGAUAACAUGGAGUGCUUUUUCAAGGAGAAAAUGGGUGUCAUUGCUGAACUUCGAAGUUCUGGAGUACCUAUGGAAUGUGCCUAGCCAUUGCAUAGCAUGGAAGUAGGGCUUGGUUGCAGAAAUAUGUGCUUUGACUAUAGAAAUAGCAUGGAACCAGAGCCAGGAAGGUGCAGAAGAACAGAUGGAAAGAAAUGGUGAUUCUCUAAGGAUGUGGUGUCGGAUCAAAAGUACUAUGAGCGCCACAUGCAUAGAGGUCGUCAACGUUCAAGAAAGCCUGUGGAAGGCAAUGCCACUGCCAACAACAACACCACCACCACCACCAAAUACACCAUCGAUUCCAACACCAAUCUCUCCAUUUCAAUCUUCUUUAAUUACGGAGAGAAUAUUUUGUAUGUUCAAAUUUAAAUAGUCUUACUGGGAUCCACCACAUUGCUUGUAGAAACUAGCACAGCCGAAUUACACUGCUGCGGCCUCACCAUAAAGCUGAUUGCAAGGAUCGAUCUACAAGCUAUGGCCCAAAAACUGAUUUACUAAAUACAUGUCACAUUUUAAGGACAAGCUCAAACAUAAGCGUUUUGCUGCAGUCAUAAUGCGGAUAAGGGAGCCGAAAACAACAGCUUUAAUAUUUGCAUCCGGUAAAAUGGUGAGUUGAUACUUCAUGGGUUAUGAGAGACUUCUAAUAGUAGAAGGAAGAUCUUGUGGCUGAUUAGAUUGUAACUCUUUUAAGAGAAUAAGUGCUAUGAACCUUUUCAUGAUAAUUCGUAGAACUUAAAUACCACAGCAGGUGUCUGUGCUCUAAGCACCUAGAUGAUGCGAGUUUAUGGUUGUGCAAGGAAUGAAGAUUGGCAAGUCCAGGAAAUGACAGAAACUGAUGAAAUUUCCCAGUAUUUAUAGCGAAGAGUUCUACCUCGAAUUUCAGUAGGCACUUGUUAUUGGGGUUUUAUAAGUAGGGACUGCAGCAGCUGGAUCUCGUGUCACAUUUCAAUGAUCCAAACCGUUUAUAUGAUGGGCCUCAAAGCAGAUGGGGGCUGCUUGGAUGUCCUGCUCACAGUUGGGGCUUAUUCAACAGCUAGAGGCACGGUGAUCUCAAGGUUGUUUAUUAGAUUCUUUUGGUUUGGACUCAGUUCAGUAUUUGUAACAUAUAUCUACAUGUGAGUGUAGUAUUAUGUUUGAAAUUUACAUUUUCAUAUUGUUGUGGCAGACCCAUGGUCCCUUUUUGCUAUUGCUGUACAAUAGUUUUUUAUAUCCUUGUACUCAUACAUGCUUCCCAAACUGCAUUGCAGGAAGGUUCUGGAGGAAAAGAUAACCGGAACUCAGAUUCUUUCUAUUUUUGGAUUUAUAUUCUUGUGUUGGGAGUUUAUGUUGGCAUACGCAUAUUUCUUGCUUUGCUACUUAAAUUCCCAGCU